rnacentral:tRNA from 1 species
CGGAGUGUAGCUCAGCCUGGUAGAGUAUCGCCUUCGGGAGGCGAGGGACGGAGGUUCAAAUCCUCUCACUCCGA